CCCGACCUCCAUAAUCGCUUUGUCGAUGCAGUCACCAAGCUCGGAGGGCCAGACAAAGCAACACCGAAAUCGGUUCUUAGACUGAUGGGCAUGAAAGGGUUGACACUCUAUCAUCUCAAGAGCCAUCUGCAGAAGUAUAGACUUGGAAUGCAAACUCGUAGGGACCGGGGCCAUGAAGGGAUGAAAGAUGGGAGGAAUGGG
rnacentral:misc_RNA from 1 species